rnacentral:rRNA from 1 species
GAUGAACGCUGGCGGCGUGCCUAAUACAUGCAAGUCGAGCGAACAGACGAGGAGCUUGCUCCUCUGACGUUAGCGGCGGACGGGUGAGUAACACGUGGAUAACCUACCUAUAAGACUGGGAUAACUUCGGGAAACCGGAGCUAAUACCGGAUAAUAUAUUGAACCGCAUGGUUCAAUAGUGAAAGACGGUUUUGCUGUCACUUAUAGAUGGAUCCGCGCCGCAUUAGCUAGUUGGUAAGGUAACAGCUUACCAAGGCAACGAUGCGUAGCCGACCUGAGAGGGUGAUCGGCCACACUGGAACUGAGACACGGUCCAGACUCCUACGGGAGGCAGCAGUAGGGAAUCUUCCGCAAUGGGCAAAAGCCUGACGGAGCAACGCCGCGUGAGUGAUGAAGGUCUUCGGAUCGUAAAACUCUGUUAUUAGGGAAGAACAAAUGUGUAAGUAACUAUGCACGUCUUGACGGUACCUAAUCAGAAAGCCACGGCUAACUACGUG